rnacentral:misc_RNA from 1 species
GAACGCACAUUGCACCCGGUGGUAUUCCGCCGGGUAUGCCUGUUCGAGCGUCAUUUCAACCCUCAGGCCCCCCCUCCUCACGGGGGGGAAGGGCCUGGUGUUGGGGAUCUACGGGCCCUUCUGGCGCCCGUAGUCCCCUAAAUCAAUCGGCGUGCGCGCUGUACGUUGCCCCCCUGCGUAGUAGUGAUUUCUCGCAUCGGGCCGUAGCGCUGUCCAGCCGCUAAACUGCAACUCCGCAUUUAGCUAGGUUUGACCUCGAAUCAGGUAGGGUUACCCGCUGAACUUAAG